rnacentral:rRNA from 1 species
GUGUCAGCAGCCGCGGUAAUACGUAGGCAGCAAGCGUUGUUCGGAAUUACUGGGCGUAAAGAGUGCGUAGGCGGUGAUCUAAGUUUGUCGUGAAAUCUCCCGGCUUAACUGGGAGGGUGCGGCGAAAACUGGAUUGCUUGAGUAUGGGAGAGGUAAGCGGAAUUCCUGGUGUAGCGGUGAAAUGCGUAGAUAUCAGGAGGAACACCUGUGGUGUAGACAGCUUACUGGACCAUUACUGACGCUGAGGCACGAAAGCGUGGGUAGCAAACAGGAUUAGAAACCCUGGUAGUCC